AUUGAACGCUGGCGGCAUGCUUUACACAUGCAAGUCGAACGGCAGCACGGGCUUCGGCCUGGUGGCGAGUGGCGAACGGGUGAGUAAUGCAUCGGAACGUGCCCAUGUCGUGGGGGAUAACGUAUCGAAGGGUACGCUAAUACCGCAUACGCCCUGAGGGGGAAAGCGGGGGAUUCUUCGGAACCUCGCGCGAUUGGAGCGGCCGAUGUCGGAUGAGCUAGGUGGGGGGGUAAAGGCUCACCAAGGCGGCGAUCCGUAGCGGGUGUGGGAGGGGGAUCCGGCAGACUGGGAGUGAGACACGGCCCAGACUCCUACGGGAGGCAGCAGUGGGGAAUUUUGGACAAUGGGCGCAAACCUGAUCCAGCCAUGCCGCGUGAGUGAAGAAGGCCUUCGGGUUGUAAAGCUCUUUCGGCCGGGAAGAAAUCGCACUCUCUAACAUAGGGUGUGGAUGACGGUACCGGACUAAGAAGCACCGGCUAACUACGUGCCAGCCGCCGCAGUAAGAC
rnacentral:rRNA from 1 species